UAUAAAUUAACAGAAAAACUGACGGAGGUUUGACAUUGGAACAAAUUCGUAAGAUGAGGUAUGAAAUUGUCAUUUUAAAAAGAUGAGGCAUGAUAAUGUCGUUUGAUCCAUAAUUGAGGUAGUUUUGUGUAAUUUACCCUAACUCGAUUUCAAUUAGAGAAAGAGGAAGAGAAGAACUGGAUUCAUAUUUGAGGAUUUGGCAUGACUUUGUCUGAAAGAAUUACUGAAAAAGAAGAGUUCAACAAUGAAUACUUUGAGUCUUUGCUCAUGCAGUUCCGACUUUUCUACGAGGGUUGUGCUAUGAAGGGAACCUUUCUGGUCAAUAAAAAGCAGACUAGAACAUUGAUGGAAGCAGCCUUGGGCGAAUAUGCAACUUAAGGAAAAUAGUUUGAAGACUGUAAGGAGCUGUAACUUAUAAAGAAUUUGGUUCAAAUGCUCUCUUCGAGCUCCCCCACUUGCAAGGCAUCUGUAAAAUCAGGGGAUAUACUCAAUUAAUUUAAUUUUUUUUUAUAUAUCUCAAGCCUCUGAUCAUUUUCCUGCAUCAAUGCUUUGUUUAGUUCAUUGAAAUUUUGAGGGGUGAAUUUUGACCUUUUGACCCCAUUUGUGAUGAUCAAGUGCAUAAUUGUGUUUGAUCUAUGUGGGAACCAAGGAACUCAGUUCCCUUUCAUGCUUUGAAUUCACUCUCAGUCUGGAGAUUAUAUAAUCAUUGGGGCAUAGUUGCUUUAUGUUCCCCUCUUCCGUCUCUAGGGUGUAGCUUCUGUCUGGUUAUAUGGGAUUAGAUUUGUGUUAUUAAUGUCAAAUAUUUUGAGUUAAACAUGAUUAUAUUUCUUGGCGUAAGCUUUGGUCUUUCUUCCUUCAUUUCUCAAAAGAGGUUAAUUUUUGCAUUUUGUAGACACAAAGGGGUUUUCAUUGACAUGUCUAGCGUGAUGAAAUCACGUUUUUUGGAUUAUGGUGCUUAUUUUGAUUCUUAUGUGUAACUAUGGGUGAUAUAACAUUAUAGGCUUGAGGUAUAGUGCGUUAUGUAGUCUUUUCCUUCAAGGAUAACUAAGUGCCUCAUAAUAGAUGUAUCCCUUGGUUUGUCAUUUUGUUACUCGAUUACUGAGGUUUAUAUUUUGGUGCCCUAUGCUUGGUUCUACAGUCAAUUUUUGCCAUGAUUUUAGAAACAUUUCUCUAUCUUUGAAGUUUUGAAGUAUUAUUCAACAUAUGUUUGUUAAUUUUAUUUGUUUUUUUGUUUGUUGGGGUUUCUUGCAGCCAGACCAAUGAUAUAUUUCGGAUGAGCAAAGGCUGUUGAAACUAUAAAUUCAUCUCUAACAUGUGCCAAAGAAGUCCCAGCAAAGGCUGGUUAUUGUUUUAAAACAUAAUUUACAUGUUAUUAAUUUUUCUUGAGCAUUAAAUAACAAAGAACUUGCUGACCACACUUAGUGAGAAAAGGCUUUGUUGUUGUUGUUAUUGUUGUAUUAAAUAACAAAGAACACGAGUAAAUUGGACGAAUACGUAAAAUAAUCACUGAUGAGUACCUAAGUAUUAUACUCAGUUCAGUUAUUGCAUCCGCUAUAUUUCUUCCAUAAACAUGAAUUGCAUGUGAGGACAGAAUAUGAGGUUUAAUUCCCCUCUCCUCCAAUAUUGCUUGGGUAAAAACCAUAUAAGCUUGGAAAAAACCAGCAGCCACGACCAAGCUCCCCUCGAUCUCUCUUCCUUCACUUUACUCUUCUUAUUGGGUCGAUGACUCUUGAAAUCAAGUCUACUGAAUGGGAAGGACCUUGCUUUCCAAAAUCAAACUCGACCAAAACCAGCAAGUGCGUCGCAUUGAUGCUACAUUGACGUACCGGGUGUUGGUUAGCCCUUGUCGAUAUUAAAUUGCUUUGGAUGCUCUGCUGGUCAAAAAGAUGAAAUCAGUAGAUGGAGCAAUAAAGUUAAAUUUGUACAGAAAGCGCCUAAGGCCCCGGGGUGG